GAAAGCAGGGGAUCUUCGGACCUUGCGCGAUUGAAUGAGCCGAUGUCAGAUUAGCUAGUUGGCGGGGUAAAGGCCCACCAAGGCGACGAUCCGUAGCUGGUCUGAGAGGAUGAUCAGCCACACUGGAACUGAGACACGGUCCAGACUCCUACGGGAGGCAGCAGUGGGGAAUAUUGGACAAUGGGCGCAAGCCUGAUCCAGCCAUACCGCGUGGGUGAAGAAGGCCUUCGGGUUGUAAAGCCCUUUUGUUGGGAAAGAAAUCCAGCUGGCUAAUACCCGGUUGGGAUGACGGUACCCAAAGAAUAAGCACCGGCUAACUUCGUGCCAGCAGCCGCGGUAAUACGAAGGGUGCAAGCGUUACUCGGAAUUACUGGGCGUAAAGCGUGCGUAGGUGGUCGUUUAAGUCCGUUGUGAAAGCCCUGGGCUCAACCUGGGAACUGCAGUGGAUACUGGACGACUAGAGUGUGGUAGAGGGUAGCGGAAUUCCUGGUGUAGCAGCUCGAAAUGCGUAGAGAUCAGGAGGAACAUCCAUGGCG
rnacentral:rRNA from 1 species